ACCCGCUGAACUUAAGCAUAUCAAUAAGCGGAGGAAAAGAAACCAACAGGGAUUGCCCCAGUAACGGCGAGUGAAGCGGCAAGAGCUCAAAUUUGAAAUCUGGCCCCUCCGGGGUCCGAGUUGUAAUUUGCAGAGGAUGCUUCGGGUGCGGUCCCCGUCUAAGUGCCCUGGAACGGGCCGUCAUAGAGGGUGAGAAUCCCGUCUGGGACGGGCGGCCGUGCCCGUGUGAAGCUCCUUCGACGAGUCGAGUUGUUUGGGAAUGCAGCUCUAAAUGGGUGGUAAAUUCCAUCUAAAGCUAAAUAUUGGCCGGAGACCGAUAGCGCACAAGUAGAGUGAUCGAAAGAUGAAAAGCACUUUGAAAAGAGAGUUAAACAGCACGUGAAAUUGUUGAAAGGGAAGCGCUUGCGACCAGACUCGCCCGCGGGGGUUCAGCCGGUACUCGUACCGGUGUACUCCCCCGCGGUCGGACCAGCGUCGGUUUGGGCGGCCGGUCAAAGGCCCCCGGAAUGUGUCGCCUCUCGGGGCGUCUUAUAGCCGGGGGUGCAAUGCGGCCAGCCUGGACCGAGGAACGCGCUUCGGCACGGACGCUGGUGCAAUGGUCGUAAGCGGCCCGUCUUGAAACACGGACC
rnacentral:rRNA from 1 species